UCGUUACCACUGACAGCAAUUUCCUGUACUGUACUAUGCAAAGAACAGAACGCUGUCAUGAAAAUGCAAAGACCAUUGUGUGUGGAUACUACAAAACCUUCAGGAAACGUAUUGCAGGAAAGUCAGCACUGUAAAGUGGGACGAUUAUUUAUGGAACUCACCCAACACAGUAAGACAUCCAUUGCGGCAGAGCGAGUGAAUCGGGGGGUUGGAGUGUUGGAGUAGGGAACGUUUAGACGAGUAAGAGAUGACAUCACUAUCUAAUGGAAAGGCCUGCU